ensembl:lncRNA
AUAUCUGGAGAAAACCGUAAUUCAAAAAGAUACAUGCACCACAGUGUUCAUUGUAGCACCAUUUACAAUAGCCAAGAUCAGGGAGCAACCUAGUGUCCAUCAAUAGAUGAAUGUUUAGAGAAGAUGUGGCGUAUAUAUAUACACAAUGGAAUAUUACUCAGCCAUAAAAAGAAUGAAAUAAUGUAAUUUGAAGCAACAUGGUUGGACCUAGAGAUUAUCAUACUAAGUGAAGUAAGUCAGGCAGAGAAAGACAUCAUACGAGAUCACUAAUAUGUGGAAUCUGAUUUUAUAAGUGAUACAAAUGAACUAAUUUACCAAAUAGACUCACAAACUUUGAAAACAAACUUAUGGUUACCAGGUUACCAAAGGGGACACAAUGGAGAGAGGGAUAAAUUAGGAAUUUGGGAUUGACAUAUAUAUAUAUAUACUAUAUAUAAUCAACAGGGACCUACUGUAUAGCACAGGGAACCAUACUCAAUAUUUUGUAAUAAACUACAUGGGGAAAGAGUCUGAAAAAGAAUGGAUAUACGUUUAUAUGUAUAAUUGAAUCACUUUGCGGUCCACCUGAAACUAGCAACACUGUAAAUCAACUAGACUCCAAUAUGAAAUAAUUAAAUUUAAAAAGGGGGGAGAGAGUUCCCAUCAUGGCUCAGUGGUUAACGAAUCUAAGAACCAUGAGGUUGCAGGUUCGAUCCCUGGCCUCAUUCAGUGGGUUAAGGAUCUGGUGUUGCCAUGAGCUGUGGUGUAGGUUGCAGACGCAGCUCAGAUCCUGUGUUGCUGUGGCUCUGGCGUAGGCCAUUGGCUACAGUUCUGAUUAGACCCCUAGCCUGGGACCCUCCAUAUGCCGUGGGUGUGGCCCUAAAAAGACAAAAAAAAAUUAAAAAGAAAAGGGGGGGUACCAUCAAAGCCUUGGGAUAAGACAAGGUUUUAUGGGGGGUGGAAUCUGAGCCUCAGGAGUGAGAGUGGUACAGCUGAGAUCUUUAUAACAAUAAAGCAGAGGGGGUAACAGAGAGGGAGGGAGGGGGGGUUGGUCCUCCUUUGGGGCAAAUGAUUUUCUCCCUAUUUCUGCAACACUAGUAUAGAUUCCUAGAAGAUCAGUCAGUUGGUCAACUAGCAGGUCAUGUUGAAUGUGUGCUCUGUGGGUAUCAUUCCUUUCAUAAAACUCCUGCAGAAGGCUAAUCUGAGAUGCUCCAAAAAAAAAAAAAAUGUCUGUGACCACUAAGUUUGGGAUUUUUACAAACUGCAUGUCCCUCUUGGAAAUUCAUAGUGUACAGUAGCAUUUUUAAAGCUCAAACUCCCAUAGUGUAGGAAUCUGUUUUUAAUACGUUUUCUCCAUCGAUGACAGGAUCCUUUGGUUACGUAAAAACUGUGAACAUCCUGUGGACACACCUUGGGAGACAUUGUUCUAGAACAUUCCUAAUCUGGUAUUCCCAGGCCCUUCACCACCUGGGCCUGCCCUUGUUUCCCAACACUACCUUCCUUUAUUUUCCUACAUUCCGGCCACACUGAACUCUUCCUUUGUACACACCCCUGUUUCACAUUUCCUUCUUUUCUGUUACAGCAGGUGAUUCAUCAUCUGCCCCAAAAAGGAAAACAAAAUGACAAAAAAGCCCUCCUCACUUCAGCCCCCACCCUUUAAGGCUCACCUCAGAAGGGUGACCCAUCUCUGCCCCAGCCGUCCUAUUCCUACAAAUAACCUCUUUUCUCCUCUGAUCCCUUGUGUCACACUAUUAUUGCUUUUAGGGCACUUAGGAUGUUUUAAUUUGUGUAAGGCGACAUAUGCUUUUCUUUCAGACAAAUCUACAUCUGAUUCUUUUUUUUUUUUCUUUUUUGGCUGCACCCACAGCAUAUAGAAGUUCCCAGGCCACGGAUCAAAGCUGUGCCAGAGCAGUGACCCAAGCCAUUGCAGUGACAAUACCAGGUCCUUAACCUGCUGCACCACAAGAGAACUCCAUGUCCAGUUCCUUUUUAUUUUAUUGUCUUUUGUCUUUUUAGGCCUGCACCUGCAGCACAUGGAGGUUCCCUGGCUAGGGGUCUAAUCAGAGCUGUUGCUGCCAGCCUACGCCAGAGCCACAGCAAUGCCAGAUCUGAGCUACGUCUGCAACCUACACCACAGCUCACAGCAACGCCGGAAUCUUAACCCACUGAUCAAACCCGAAACCUCAUGGUACCUAGUCGGAUUUGUUUCCACUGUGCCACAACGGGAACUCCCCCAAUUCUUUUUUAUAAUCCUACCCCUGAAAACAGCAUAUCUGUGGGAUUGUUCGAGGGAGCAGAAAGUAUGAAUCUCUGACCCCCAAGGCUGAAAUAAGUUUCUCAACACUCAGGCCAGAGAUAGCACAUAUCUGACUCACCUGCUGCGGCCCACGCUUAGACUCAUCUGUCACAAUGUGAUGCCCCCAGAUGGCCCUCCACCUCCCCCCAGAAUGUUUCUCAACACAAUGCUCCCAACAGGCAUAAUCCACAGGCCAGGGUUGGCAUGACAGAGGAAAUCAGAUUGUCAUGCCUGAUCUGGACUUCUCCACAAAGAGGAAAACUUAGCAAGCUGAACACUGGAGCUGUUAAGACUCCAGAUCAAGGACUGUCCAUAACAGAAAAGAGCAAUUAGCAAAACUAUUCAUUAUACUUUCAUGUUCAUGUCUAGUCUCAAGGCUAAUUAUUUGUAUAAUUAACAUGUUACCAAAUGCAAAUAAUUGAUGAGCCUGAUUUCUUGGAAUGGAACGCGAGUCUUGUGAAAUGUAAAUGGCUGUGAAUUACUAACAGCUUUCCUUUACACAGGCUUUCUAAUAGGGCAACGCCUGUAAAUUAAACAAUUUAAAUGUUAUCAUUUAUGCUAAAAGACUGACAAACUGAAACAAUGUGAUGUGUGGUUAAACCCAUAGAAAAGGCACAGGUUUUUAAAUUCCCACUCUAUUACUUCCUAGCUGUGUGACUUUGGGCAAGUUUCUCAAUUUACUCAUGUUAUUUAUAAAUCUCAGUUUCCGCAUUUAUAAAAUGGGUGUAAUAGCAGCCCCUAGUUCACAGGAUUGUUGAGAAUUAAAUGAGUGUUGACUCAUUUGUAAAGAGUACACAAUAAAUGGGAGCCAUUGUUUUCAUUAUUACACUUUGUAUUGCUUAGAUUUUAUCCUGCAAGAAACAUUACAGGGAAAAGGAACAUAUACAGUUGUCCCAGCUAGAAGACCACCUAUGUGUUCCUGAAAAGCUCCCAUGGUCUACAGAAUAGUUCACCGAGAUAACUGGCUGCUGGGAAAGAAAAAGGGUUGAGGACUCUAUUCAGAGAGUCCUCAUAAGACCACUCAGAGCUGAUGCAACUUUGUAACCCAAGCACUAACAAUGUCAAAACUAAUAAAAUAUUGGUCCCAUUAAAUCUCAACUUGAACGUU